GAAAUAUGAGACCCAAGAUAAAGCUUCUAACUUUUAACUUUAGCGGUGAAACUCCGUUAAUAUUUCU
rnacentral:tRNA from 1 species